GUGUGUGUGUGUGGUGUGUGUGUGUGUGUGUGUGUGUGUGUGUGUGUGUUCUUUCUUUUGCAGUCCUUCUACACAACGCCAUUCCUUUUGUAGGAUUUGGUUUCCUGGACAACGCCAUCAUGAUUGUAGCUGGCACGCAGAUUGAGUUGUCCAUAGGUGUGAUCCUUGGGAUUUCAACCAUGGCAGAUCCUCUCAAGCUCUGUCAGGUUGGAUGAGGAGCGUCACUGCACAACUAUUUCCAGGUCUCUCCAGAGAUGUUUGAUCGGGUUCAAGUCUGAGCUGUGGCUGGGCCACUCAAGGACAUUCAGAAACUUGUCCUGAAGCCACUCCUGCGUUGUCUUGGCUGUGUGCUUAGGGUCUUUGUCCUGUUGGAAGCUAUAAUCCUUCGCCCCAGUCUGUGGUUCCUCGAUCCUGACUAGUCUCCCAGUCCCUGCCGCUGAAAAACAUCCCCACAGCAUGAUGCUGUCACCACCAUGCUUCACCAUAGGGAUGGUGCCAGGUUUCCUCCAGAUGUGAUGCUUGGCAUUCAGGCCAAAGAGUUCAAUCUUGGUUUCAUCAGACCAGAGAAUCUUGUUUCUCAUGGUUUGAGAGUCUUUUGACAAACUCCAAGCAGGCUGUCGUGCAUUUUUUUGAGGAGUGGCUUCCGUCUGGCCACUCUACCAUAAAGUCUUUAUUAGUGAAGUGCUGCAGAGAUGGUUGUCCUUCUGGAAGGUUCUCCCAUCUCCACAGAGGAACACUGGAGCUCUGUCAGUGACCAUCAGGGUUGCUCAGUUUGGCCCGGGCGGCCAGCUCUAGAAAGAGUCUUGGUGGUUCCAAACUUCUUCCAUUUAAGAAUGAUGGAGGCCGCUGUGUUCUUGGUACCUUCAAUGCUGCAGAAAUGUUUUGGUACCUUUCCCCAGAUCUGUGCCUCAAAACAAUUCUGUCUCGGAGCUCUACGGACAAUUCCUUCGACCUCAUGGCUUGGUUUUUGCUCUGAAAUGCACCGUCAACUGUGGGACCUUAUAUAGACAGGUGUUUACCUUUCCAAAUCAUGUCCAAUCAAUUGAAUUUACCACAUGUGGACUCCAAACAAGUUGUAGAAACAUCUCAAGGAUGAACAAUGGAAACAGGAUUUACCUGAGCUCAAAUUCAAGUCUCAUAGCAAAGG
ensembl:lncRNA